ACAUGCCUACAACAUAGAAUUAAUGCACCAGAUCCCAUUAGAACUUCACAGUUAGCACGCUCAGGCUAGAGUAGUAUUGGGAUAGGUGACCACCUGGGAACUCCUAUUGUUUUACAUGCC
rnacentral:rRNA from 1 species